GCUCUGGCUGGGGCGGCGCGUCCAGCCUGCGGCCCCCCGGACCCCCAGCCCACAGCGGGGCUGCUGGGGCGCCGUCCGCGAGCCUGGGGGCCAGGCGGACUAGACGAGGCUCAGGGCCACUUACAGAGAGACAGAGGACAAGCCCCAGACCCCGUUUUAUGGCGGAGGACGCUGAGGCACAGGUUACCUAGUGAGCAGCAGAACCUGGGCUCUACCCCGGCAGCCCAGCUCUCCUGCGGCCUCCCCUCCCUCCCCACAGGGCGGGUGGACGAUGCUGGGGGAGGCAGGUGUACACCCUCAGCGUUGAUGGCCUCCUGCCUCCUUCACUAGCUCAUUCAUUCACUGAACACGUGUUGGUCUGGGGCUCCCUGCCGCCCGGGUGUGCUGCUUGCACCUGGUCUCCCUGGGUUAGUGAGGCCAGCCACAGUCCUGUGGAGCUGGUGGGGGAGACAGAGAUUCAGCAGCGAAUCACACUAACCAGGAACGCGCUGUCCCAGCCUCCUCUUCCUCCUGGGCCGCUCUGUCCCUCCCGUCCCGGGCCCACUGGCUUAUCUGGCCCACAUGUGUCUGCUGAGAUGCUAGCUCAGCAGGGUGAGCAGGUGAGUCACUCAGAAGGGUGGUCGGUGACUCGACGGAGUUGCACAGCCCUUGGGGACUCCCAAGAUUUCAAGCUACCAGUGAGCUGAGCCAGAGCAAAGAGUCAGGGGAGAAGCACAGAAGUGACUCGCACGAGGCUGUGUGGCACACUCCGGCACGCUGCCAGCAGUGUCUCUUCCUAGUGUGACCUGAGGCAAGUGCUUUCACCAUUGUAACCUCACUUUCUUCACCUGUAAAACGGGCCAACACCACCUCUCCCAGGCUGUUGGCGUGAGGAUUAGGUGACAGUCUUCCCCCCACCUUCCCCACUUAUGCCCAGCUUAUUCAAUUCUUAGAAUGGCCUUAGGCAUUUUAAUCAUUUGGUUUUAUGUCAGUUUUUCCAAUGAACUGUGAAGUCCUUGAAGUCAGGGACCAUGUCACAUUUAUCUUUGUAUCCCCAGUGUCUAGUACAGAGCUUGGCACAUAAUAGGCACUCAAUAAAUUUCAGACCCAAAGCUAUGGUCCUGUGCACGUUGAACUUGUGGUCCACCUCUCCGCCCGGGCUUUCUCUGUGAGCCUGAGAGGAAGGGUGGGCCUGCAGACCCUUGUAUGGAUUCUUCCCAAGUGGCCUAUGUGGCUGGGUGAGAUUUCAGCAUUUCAAAGUCCCUGCUGGGAGCCACGUGCCAUCUGAGGGCUGGCUGUUGGAGGAUCAUGCUGAGCAUG